rnacentral:lncRNA from 1 species
ACUGCAUUUUCUCUUGAUCAGGUUCAGGAAAGCGUCACUGUACCUGUGAAUGUUACGGUGAAAAGAUGCAUACGCAACCAUCUGAGAACGUUUUCGGACUCCCUGACCGGUGUGAACAGAACAAUCGCCAACAGACUGGCAAAAAUUCACGACUGUGAAAAGCUGUUCCCCCAGGGAUCCAAAGAGGAAUGUGAGACUGCGGAAACAGUAGGUGAGAAGGUUUUCAGGGAAAAAAUUGAAAAAUUCUUGCGCUUCCUGUAUGAGGAACUUUAAAACAUGCCUGAACAGAAUGAUUAUGCCAAAUCCAAGAAGAAAUGAAGAACCCUAAUUCUCCUCCAUCUGAAGAUGGGAUACUACUGUUAACUUAUUCUCAGGAAU